GCGACGGUAGUUUAGUGGUAUAAUACGCCCCUGCCACGGGCGUGACCCGGGUUCGAAUCCCGGCCGUCGCA
rnacentral:tRNA from 1 species